rnacentral:rRNA from 1 species
CCGUCUUGAAACACGGACCAAGGAGUCUAACAUGUGCGCGAGUCAUUGGGUCUGACUAAACCUAAAGGCGCAACGAAAGUGAAGGCAGCCUUGGGUUUGCCUAGGUAGGAUCCUCUUUUUGAAGAGGAGGCGCACUACCGGCCCGUCUCGACCGCGUUGCGGUGAGGCGGAGCGAGAGCGCACACGUUGGGACCCGAAAGAUGGUGAACUAUGCCUGAGUAGGAAAAAGCCAGAGGAAACUCUGGUGGAAGUCCGUAGCGAUU